ensembl:lncRNA
GAGCUCGCGCGCCCUCGGGAAAACACCGUACAUCAUCGCGAUAGCUUGGGCGCACCGAGGCACCGUUUUCGGAAUAUUUACAACGCUCUCCCACCUUCUCAUUUUCCGUAAAUCAUCGGGAUAAGGGAAAAAAAAUUGCCCAACCUGCCCGGUCGAAUGAGGUUUUUCAGCUUGUUAGACGUGAUUUGUGUGAGGAGCUUGCUAACACAAAGCUCUAGGAAGUCCCAGAGAAGAGGUCAAGGCCCUCGAUGCCUGCGGAAGAUGGAGGUGACUCAUGAGAACUGACCCACUUUUCAAAGAGAGCAAAUCUGCUGGUGUUAACUAGAUCAUGAGCAUUAAGAAUAAGUAUCUGAAUAGAUAUCAGUGAUAUUAUUGGUAGGUGUGUCUCGUAGAACUGGG